AGGAGAGGUGGCACCAAUUUUUGGGCAGGUAUUUGAGGCAAGCUGAAAACUUGUCACAUACCUCUCCUAUUAUAUUCCAACACGGAAUUGCAGACCUGGCUGGUGAGUAGCGGGGCUAAAUCAACCCCUACAUUUUUGAAAAUAUUAUUUUUUUUUUCCCAAAAAUAUAUUUGAGGCAAUACGCAAUUUAUAUAUGUUGCAGUGUAAUACUUAAUAAAUACGAAAAAAAAUAAGCCAGACAAUUUAAUCGGGGCUUUAACAUUACCAGACGCGUGCAAAUAUUUUUUCAAAAAAUUAUAAAAAAUGUUUUUGAGGCAGCUUGAAAUUUUAAUGGAGUGUUAUUUAUAACUAUAAAAUAAAAUUCCCAAAAAGACAGAUCAUUUCGGUAGGGCUUUCUACCUGCCAGGCGAUCAAACAAAUAAUGGAUGGGUACGGGCCUGUACUACUAUAGACAAGCUGUAGUGUGAGAGAGAGCGCAUAUCGACAGCUGUCUUCGUUCUGGCUUGCCGCGUUACUAUUGGCUCUAGUGAGGCCACGUGACUUACAAUAACCCAUGAGGUUUUUAGUUAGAAUUUCGGAGUCGUUACUUUCAGUCGUAUUAUUCUACUAAUGGUAUUAUUACACUAUUUAAAACUCAAAUAAUUAGAAAAUGUCUAGUGAAAAGUUAGUUUGUGUUAUUUGUAAAAAAAAUUAUGCUAAAGUGAUUGCUUUUGUGGAGAAAACUCUAAAAAAAAAGUCAGGAGGUGCUAAAUAUCCGUAAACAUCAUAGGUUAAAAUAUAAUCAUAUUGUUUUGCCAGUGAUUCCUAACCUUUCAGAUGGUUAUCACACAAGUUGUUAUAAGAAUUUUAUAGCUUUGAUGAAAAAAUAUAGUGAAAAUACUGUGAUUGAAUCCAAUAUUUAUACUCUUACAAAAGAACGCAAUAUAUAACAAGCAUUUGGAGAAAUGCAUAUUUACGAUUCCCCAGUUCUUUGACACCUAAUAGAAACGGAUGGACACUUAAUGAGGAUACGCUAGAUUUUCACUGGUUUGACGGAGAGUGUAUGCCGCAUUCGACGCUGUUGUUCACGAGGAAAAUAAAAAUAACGAUGAUGAAAAUCAUACUACAGAUGAUGAAGAGGUUGCCGAAUCUGAUACAGAUGAAUCCGAAGAUUCAAGUAGUUCUGAUGAAGAUUCUGAUCCACAGACGAAAAAUGAUAAUUUAUCUGGCGUGAAACGAAUUUAAUUUAUUUCUAAUUUUUUUAUACUUAAAUAAUUGAAACACUGAAGAAAUAUUAUAUUUUUAUAAA